UACGUAGGGGCCUAGCGUUGUCCGGAAUUAUUGGGCGUAAAGAGCUUGUAGGCGGUUUGUCGCGUCUGCUGUGAAAUUUCGGGGCUCAACCCCGAACUUGCAGUGGGUACGGGCAGACUAGAGUGUGGUAGGGGAGACUGGAAUUCCUGGUGUAGCGGUGAAAUGCGCAGAUAUCAGGAGGAACACCGAUGGCGAAGGCAGGUCUCUGGGCCAUAACUGACGCUGAGAAGCGAAAGCAUGGGGAGCGAACAGG
rnacentral:rRNA from 1 species